CAGCCAUGCCGCGUGCAGGAAGACGGCCUUCUGGGUUGUAAACUGCUUUUGGCCGGGAACAAAAAGCCCCUGCGGGGGAAAUUGAGUGUACCGGCAGAAUAAGCACCGGCUAACUCCGUGCCAGCAGCCGCGGUAAUACGGAGGGUGCAAGCGUUGUCCGGAUUUAUUGGGUUUAAAGGGUGCGUAGGCGGGCCAAUAAGUCAGUGGUGAAAGCCCACAGCUCAACUGUGGAACCGCCAUUGAUACUGUUGGCCUUGAGUACCGUUGGGGCAGGCGGAAUUUAUGGUGUAGCGGUGAAAUGCAUAGAUACCAUAAAGAACACCGAUAGCGUAGGCAGCUUGCUAAACGGU
rnacentral:rRNA from 1 species